GACGAACGCUGGCGGCGUGCCUAAUUCAUGUCAGUAGAAUGCUGAAGGAGGAGCUUGCUUCCCUGGAUGAGUUGCGAACGGGUGAGUAACGCGUAGGUAACCUGCCUGGUCGCGGGGGAUAACUAUUGGAAACGAUAGCUAAUACCGCAUAAUAGCAGUUGUUGCAUGAUAACUGUUUGAAAGGUGCACUUGCACCACUACCAGCUGGACCUGCGUUGUAUUUGCUAGUUGGUGGGGUACCGGCUCUCCAAGGCGACGAUACAUAGCCGGCCUGCGAGGGGGAUCGGCCAGACUGGGACUGGGACACGGCCCAGGCUCCUACGGGAGGCAGCAGUAGGGAAUCUUCGGCAAUGGACGGAAGUCUGACCGAGCAACGCCGCGUGAGGGAAGAAGGGUUUCGGAUCGUAAAGCUCUGUUGUAAGAGAAGAGCGGGGGGGAGAGUGGAAAGUUCACACUGUGACGGUAUCUUACCAGAAAGGGACGGCUAACUACGUG
rnacentral:rRNA from 1 species